GCGUACACGUAACGAAAUAAUCUUUCUCUUGAAAAUUUCCAUUCGUAUGACGUCGUGUUUUGCCAUGACGUAAAUUCGCCAAAUCCUUCAUGAAAUUUCGCGGAAUUUUAUUAAAUUUAAUUUUUGUACAUUUUCGAAGCUUUAGUGCAAUAAAUUUAUUUUUUUUUUUUUUGUUAUAUAUGCACUAGAAUAGUCACAACUGUUAUGCAAUUGUUUUUUAAUCUCAAUUUGCUGAAAAUCCCGGGAUCACUGCAAGCUUGUGUAUCGCGCAUGAAUAGAUUACAAAAGUAGUUUCGGAAACAUGAUUUAUCGAAGUGUAAACUUAAAGAAAAAUUCUAAUUGACCAAUCC
rnacentral:lncRNA from 1 species